rnacentral:rRNA from 1 species
UACGUAGGGCGCAAGCGUUGUCCGGAAUCAUUGGGCGUAAAGCGCGCGUAGGCGGCCCUGUAAGUCCGUUGUGAAAGUCAAAGGCUCAACCUUUGAAAGCCGAUGGAUACUGCAGGGCUAGAGUCCGGAAGAGGCGAGUGGAAUUCCUGGUGUAGCGGUGGAAUGCGCAGAUAUCAGGAGGAACACCAACGGCGAAGGCAGCUCGCUGGGACGGUACUGACGCUGAGGCGCGAAAGCGUGGGGAGCGAACAGG